GGUAGGAUAGAGGCCUACCAUGGUGGUAACGGGUAACGGGGUGUUAGGGCACGACACCGGAGAGGGAGCCUGAGAAACGGCUACCACAUCCAAGGAUGGCAGCAGGCGCGCAAAUUACCCAAUCCCGACACGGGGAGGUAGUGACAAUAAAUAACAAUACGGGGUUCUUUCGGAUUUCGUAAUUGGAAUGAGUACAAUUUAAAUCUCUUAACGAGGAACAAUUGGAGGGCAAGUCUGGUGCCAGCAGCCGCGGUAAUUCCAGCUCCAAUAGCGUAUAUUAAAGUUGCUGCAGUUAAAAAGCUCGUAGUUGAAUUUCGGGACCAAUAUGUCGGUCGUGCCUCGGUACGUACUGGCAUCGUUGGUUUCUCCCUUCUGACGAACCAUGAUGUCAUUUAUUUGGUGUCGUGGGGAAUCAGGACUGUUACUUUGAAAAAAUUAGAGUGUUUAAAGCAGGCUCACGCUUGAAUACAUUAGCAUGGGAUAAUGAAAUAGGACGUUUGAUUCUAUUUUGUUGGUUUCUAGGAUCGACGUAAUGAUUAAUAGGGAUAGUUGGGGGCAUUAGUAUUCAAUUGUCAGAGGUGAAAUUCUUGGAUUUAUUGAAGACUAACUACUGCGAAAGCAUUUGCCAAGGAUGUUUUCAUUAAUCAAGAACGAAAGUUAGGGGAUCGAAGACGAUCAGAUACCGUCGUAGUCUUAACCAUAAACUAUGCCGACUAGGGAUCGGAUGAUGUUAAUUUUUUAAUGACUCAUUCGGCGCCUUACGGGAAACCAAAGUGUUUGGGUUC
rnacentral:rRNA from 1 species